rnacentral:rRNA from 1 species
UGGAAUGUGUGGUGUAGCGGUGAAAUGCUUAGAGAUCACACAGAAUAUCGAUUGCGAAGGCAGCUCACAAAGCCAAGAUUGACGCUGAGGCACGAAAGUGUGGGGAUCAAACAGGAUUAGAUACCCUGGUAGUCCACACUGUAAACGAUGAUAACUCGCUGUCGGCGAUACACAGUCGGUGGCCAAGCGAAAGCGAUAAGUUAUCCACCUGGGGAGUACGACCGCAAGGUUGAAACUCAAAGGAAUUGACGGGGGCCCGCACAAGCGGAGGAACAUGUGGUUUAAUUCGAUGAUACGCGAGGAACCUUACCCGGGCUCGAACGGUGCAUGAAUGGACAAGAGAUUGUUCAGACCUUAGGGACAUGUAUCGAGGUGCUGCAUGGUUGUCGUCAGCUCGUGCCGUGAGGUGUCGGCUUAAGUGCCAUAACGAGCGCAACCCUUGUCAUUAGUUACCAUCAGGUAGAGCUGGGGACUCUAAUGAGACCGCCACCGUAAGGUGAGAGGAAGGGGGGGAUGACGUCAAAUCAGCACGGCCCUUAUGUCCGGGGCGACACACGUGUUACAAUGGGGGGUACAGAGGGCAGCCAUCCGGCGACGGAGCGCCAAUCUCAAAAACCCUUCUCAGUUCGGAUUGGAGUCUGCAACUCGACUCCAUGAAGUUGGAUUCGCUAGUAAUCGCGCAUCAGCCAUGGCGCGGUGAAUACGUUCCCGGGCCUUGUACACACCGCCCGUCAAGCCAUGGAAGCUUGGGGUGCCUGAAGUUCGUGACCGCAAGGAGCGACCUAGGGCAAAACAAGUAACUGGGGCUAAGUCGUAACAAGGUAACCGUA